AUUUAAGUUUGCACCUAGACGGGCGAGUGUGCUCCCGGCCCUGGAGAAGCUCCUGGGAGGACACAGCCCCGCGGACAGUUUCAUUCUACUUCAGCAAGGAUUGGGAUGCCUGUGUGCUAUGGCAGUCAACCCAGGAGAGCCAGAAAGACUUCCAGAGGAGAUUCCAGAACCCGGAGGCUGAGACCUCAGCAAGGGCUCUUCCCCUGCUGUGAGAGGCUUCUGGUGAGAAGAUGUUAGCACGGUAAGUACUAAGAGGCACCAAGCUCAGUAAGAGAUGAGGCACUGGGAUGGGGUUUCAUUCCAAGGACCCUCUCAGGGUGCUCUGACCCAGUGGAGCUGACACUCCCGGAGGAAAGUAAAGCAAGACUGCCGGAUUGAGGACCAGGGUCCUGGGUGAGGGUGGGCAGGGACCCCAGGAGGGAUAGAAUCUGACUUAUAUGGGAGGAUACUUUGAUGGGGACAGUGGAUAACCAUUUGACACCAUCCCUGGAUUCUGUAUCUCUGAUCAUCCAGUGAUCACCUCAUGGUGGCUGUGUUAGCUUUUUGUUGCUGUGACCAAAGUAACUGACACCCACACUUGGACAAUAAAGGUUUAUUUAGGUUCAUGGUG